rnacentral:lncRNA from 1 species
GCCGGGCGCAGUGGCGGGCGCCUGUAGUCCCAGCUACUCGGGAGGCUGAGGCAGGAGAAUGGCGUGAACCUGGGAGGCGGAGCUUGCAGUGAGCCGAGAUUGUGCCACUGCAAUCCGGCCUGGGCUAAAGAGCGGGACUCCGUCUCAAAAAAAAAAUAAAAAAAUAUAAAGAAAGCCUGACUGAUUGGACAGAUGAAAUCAUUUUCAAAUGAUAGGUUAUAUAAUUUUUUUUCUUUUUUUUUUGAGAUGGAGUCUCGCUCUGUCGCCCAGGCUGGAGUGCAGUGUCGUGAUCUUGGCUCACUGCAAGCUCCGCCUCCCAGGUUCACGCCAUUCUCCUGCCUCAGCCUCCUGAGUAGUUGGGACUACAGACGCCCACCAUCACGCCCGGCUAAUUUUUUUUUUUUUUUGUAUUUUUAGUAAAGACGGGGUUUCACUGUGUUAGCCAGGAUGGUCUCGAUCUCCUGACCUCAUGAUCCGCCUGCCUUGGCCCCCCAAAGUGCUGGGAUUACAGGUGUGAGCCACCACGCCUGGCCAGGUUAUAUAAUUUUUUAAACAAAUUAUUCUCAGUCUAAAAGAUACAUGGGCAUUAGUGAACACUUCUUUCUGCUUAGCAGAAAAAACCUGUUGACUUUUUGACAGAGGUACAGAUCUCUGAAGUUACAUUAAAACUACACUUUGAGGACCUUUUGUAGUUCAUAAGUGUGAUGAUUCGGGUUUCACGCUCAUAUGUAAAAUGUGCCUCCCUCAAACCUUGUUACAACAUCAGCACAUUGCCCAUGUGACAUGAGGAAAAAAGAGUACACUUUGUGUAUAUACAUAUGUGUGUGUGUGUGUGUGUAUAAAAGAGUACACUUUGCGUGUAUAUGUGUAUAUAUAUAUAUAUAUGGUUGUGUGUAUUUAAAUUAGCAUAAUAACUUCAAACACAGUUAGUGUUUUAAAACUUGCAAAAUCUGUUUAUGAAAACUUUAGCAUUUCCAUAAGAUAAAUUCAAAGAAGUGAAGUAGCUGAGUCAAAGGACUGUCAAGAUUUCAGUAGGCAAACACUGGAAAAUUAACCUGAGAAAAGUGACACUAAUUUACACACCAACCAAAUGUAAGUGUGCCUUGAAUCCCAAGGAUUUUGCCAACUCAAUUUGCUUUUGAGUUACACUCAACCCAGUGAGAGCAUAUCAUAUUAGAUGCCUUAGAUGCUCUCCGUAUCUGAUCAACUAAUAAAGCAUAAUGUCCAUUCUGUCAAACGAAGGCUGAAUGCUUUUAAGUUUAAAAUGCCAUUUUUUCCCCAUCUGCUCCCAGAUUUUCUUUUUUUUUGAGACAGAGUUUUACUCUUGUUGCCUAGGCUGAAGUGCAAUGGUGCGAUCUCAGCUCACCACAAACUCCACCUCUCGGGUUCAAGCGAUUCUCCUGCCUCAGCCUCCCGAGUAGUUGGGAUUACAGGCGUGUGCCACCACGCCUGGCUAAUUUUGUAUUUUUAGUAGAGACAGGGUUUCUCCAUGUUGGUCAGGCUGGUCUCGAACUUCCGACCUCAGAUGAUCCUCCCACCUCGGCCUCCAAAAGUGUUGGGAUUACAGGUGUGAGCCAACCGCACUGGGCCUGCUCCCAGAUUUUCUUUCUUCUCUAGUCUGAACCCAUGGUCCAUGUUUUCUCACUCAGAACCCUUGGUUCCUCAAACUCUAUGAUUUUUUGCUGUGUCUAUCCUAAAAAAUUCCAUUCCAGGAAUGUUCCAGUCCUCCACUCUCCUGCCUUCCUGUUCCCUGCUGAAAAACACCCAACAAUUCCGUGCCUUGCCACUGUCCUGACUUUGAGCUGCAGCCGGCCCUGAGCACCAGGGCCCACCAGAGUCACUUUUCGGUCGUUGUCUCGCCUGACCUUCUUCCACACCUGGGACUGCUGGCCUCUCUUCCCUGGGUUCCAAGGCUAUUUUGAUUUGCUUUCCCAGGUCCUCCAUACAUUUGUAGACCAUUCUAAGUGGCCCAGUUCCUUGCAGUUGGACUCUAAACACCAACGUAUAUUCUUAAAUUUCUGAGGGAAAAACUUAGAGCAUAAUGGAGAAGAGCACAGACUCUGAAGCCUAGUUGCCCAGGUCCUGGCUCAGCCCUGCCUGCCACUUCUGCACUGGGCUAGGCAAUCCCACUGCCCCAUGUGUCUUCAUCUGUGAAAAGAGACUCCUAUGUGUAUCUGUGUGAUCUAAAUGACCUACUGAGAAAAAUGCUUAGAUAAUAAACACUAGAAAAUGGCAUUUAUUAUUAUGAUUCCUAAUCAGGAGCCCUAGAUCAUGGGACAGCGAAAUAAGAUAUAGAAAUCAGACUGGGUUCAAUCCUGAUUGAACAAUUGGGCAUGAUUUGGGCAUAUUAUUUGGGCAACUAAGCUCAGCUUGUUGGACUAUGUGUUGAAUGGGGCUAAUACUAUUUUAGAUACCAGAGUUAUUAUACAAAGUAAAUAAGAAAAACAGAAUGAAGCAGCUUGCACAAUGUCCAGCAUAGAGCAAGUAGGAAGUGAUUGAUUUUUAGUUGCCAUUAUUUUUAGACCUUGUGAUUAUUGGUACUAGAUUGUAGAUCAAAGAUAACAUACAGGGCUCUGUUUUGAAAUGUACAUUGGAAUUUAGCUCUGCUGGUAUGUAGAACUGCAGUGGCAGUGCAGCCUUUUUCACCAGCACCUAAGAAUUCCUACAACUAGAAAAAUUACCAUACAGAAAAAAACAGUGAAUAAAAUGGCUACAGUUAAUAAAGUAAAAAACACACAUACACAUAUGUGCACAUCAUGAGCUGAAGGCAGGCCACUGUCAAGCCUCCCGAAUUUCAGAAGUCUAGUUCAGCCCCUUUUGAGCACUUAGACCAAUAUACUUAACUGUUGAGCCAGAAGUUCAAAAGAAUUUUAACUUUAUGCAACACAUCCUUUGCUUGGCUUUGCUUCAUGGCAGAAUUUAUAGUCUCUUCUUUUAGGACUAUGCUAAUAUACAUCAGAUAAAUUAGUUUUGCUGGUUCUUCUUCUUCUUUUUUUUUUUUUUUUUUUUUUUGAGACAGAGUCUUGCUCUGUCGCCAGGCUGGAGUGCAGUGGCGUGAUGUCAGCUCACUGCAACCUCUGCCUCCCAGGUUCAAGCGAUUCUCCUGCCUCAGUCUCCCGAGUAGCUGGGACAAUAGGCAUGCAUCACCAUGCCCAGCUAAUUUUUUGUGUUUUAGUAGAAAUGGGGUUUCACCAUGUUGGUCAGGCUGGUCUCGAACUCCUGACCUCAUGUGAUCCACCCGCCUCAGCCUCCCAAAGUACUGGGAUUACAGGUGUGAGCCACCGUGCCUGGCUGCUUAUUCUUUUACUUAUAUUUGUAACAUUUGAUUCAUACAUUGUCAACCCAUAUUUGUACACAACUGUUGGGAUAUUUUUAAGUCAUUAUGAUGCCUUUGGUAUAUACACAGCAAAGUGGCCAUUUUCUAAAUUACACUAUCUUCCUAAGAUAUCAUGAGAUGCUCUGACUCAAGUGGUUCAGUGAGAAAGUCAUCUUCUGGUUUAAGGACAUCCCCUUCUGUUCACAAACUGCUAAGAUUUUUUUCUUUUUAAAUGACGAAUGGGCAUUAAACUUUAUCAAAUACUUUUUGUUGUUGCUCCCCAGCUAUAGGACCAGCUUCUGGAUGUGACCCCUUCUUUCAAUCAGCGCUGCCCAACAGAACUUCCUGCCAUGAUGGAAAUGUUCUAUGGCUGCACUGUCAAAUAUGGAAGCCACCAGCCACAUGUGGCUAUGGAGCACUUGGAAUAUCACUAGUGCAACUGAGGAACUAAACUUUAAAUUGUAUAUAAUGUUAACUCAUUUAACA